UUGAACGCUGGCGGCAUGCCUUACACAUGCAAGUCGAACGGCAGCACGGGAGCAAUCCUGGUGGCGAGUGGCGAACGGGUGAGGAAUACAUCGGAAUCUACCCUGUCGUGGGGAUAACGUAGGAAACUUACGCUAAUACCGCAUACGAACUGAGGUUGAAAGCGGCGGACCGCAAGGCGUCGCGCGAUUGGAUGAGCCGAUGUCCGAUUAGCUAGUUGGCGGGGUAAUGGCCCACCAAGGCGACGAUCGGUAGCUGGUCUGAGAGGAUGAUCAGCCACACUGGAACUGAGACACGGUCCAGACUCCUACGGGAGGCAGCAGUGGGGAAUAUUGGACAAUGGGCGAAAGCCUGAUCCAGCCAUUCCGCGUGCAGGAUGAAGGCCCUCGGGUUGUAAACUGCUUUUGUACAGAACGAAAAGGUCUCUAUUAAUACUAGGGGCUCAUGACGGUACUGUAAGAAUAAGCACCGGCUAACUACGUG
rnacentral:rRNA from 1 species